rnacentral:rRNA from 1 species
UUUGAACGCUGGCGGCAUGGCUAAAACAUGCAAGUCGAACGCGAAAGAGGAGCAAUCCUCGAGUAGAGUGGCGAAAGGGUGAGUAAUACGUUCCUACGUGCCUUGAGGUCAGGGAUAGCCAGGGGAAACUCUGGGUAAUACCUGAUGUGGUCUCCGGAUCAAAGGCUUGCCGCCUCGAGAGCGGGGAACGUCCUAUCAGCUAGUUGGUGAGGUAAUGGCUCACCAAGGCGAAGACGGGUAGCGGGUGUGAGAGCACGGCCCGCCACAUCGGAACUGAGACACUGUCCGGACUCCUACGGGAGGCUGCAGUAACGAAUCUUCUGCAAUGCGCGAAAGCGUGACGGAGCGAUGCCGCGUGCAGGAUGAAGCCCUUCGGGGUGUAAACUGCUGUCAGGGAUUAGCAACACAAUGAGCAGUCCCAAAGGAAGAGACGACUAACUCUGUGCCAGCAGUCGCGGUAAUACAGAGGUCUCGAGCGUU